rnacentral:tRNA from 1 species
AGAAAUGAAGCCUAGUGGUAGAGUGCUUACCUGGCAUGUAUGAGGACCUGGGUUUAAAUCCUAGCAAUGCUG